UGGGGUUAGAAAAUGUUUUAAAGAUAUUUAAUAUAUAAUAUAGAAUUGAGCUCCUAUAUGCUUUUAAAAGCACAAAGUUAUUAGUGCUUAUAGAUUUUUUGCCAUUAGAUUAAGGGAUGUGCAGUUAAAAUGAUGUGGGACCCUAGAGUUGAGUGGUUGGUUGGUUGAAUAGUAUAAUCUAAUAGGUGAAAAUGAUAAAAAUGGUAAAUCUAACGGUAAAAAAUUUACAAACACCAAGUGCUUGGUGCUUUUACAAGCACCAUAGCGGGACUCAUAUAAUAUAUUAGUGAUUAAGACAGAAUGAUUAAUUGUGAUGUGCAUUUAAUUGUACACUCAUUAUAUAUAUAUAUAGCUCUUGGAUCAAACACUCUUCCACCUACCACCACCUACCACCAUCAACUCAACCUCACAUCUUUCCAUCCAAUGGCUAAAAACUCAAAAGCACCACCCCCAUGGUGCUUUUGAGAGUAUUCUAGCUCAACUCUCUCUCUAUAUAUAUAUAUAUAUAUAUAGUAUAGACCUACUAUACUAUCAGAAGCAUGGAGGGUUUUAUGCUUCUGACUUUUUGACCAUUGGAUCAAAAAUUGUACGGUUGGGAUGAUUGCGGUCCCCCCUAGGAUUGAGUAGUACCCUUAGAGUUGAGUGGUCCCCACAAAGUAAUAGUAUGAAUCCAAAGGUUAAAAAUGAUCAAAGGGGUUGAUCUAAGAGCUGAAAAGUUGGAAGCACCGGAUCCUCUAUGCUUCCGAUAGCAUAGUAGCUCUACUCUCUCUCUAUAUAUAUAUAUACUUAUAUAUAUAUAUAUAUAGAGAGAGAGAGAGAGAGAGAGAGAGAGAGAGAGAGAGAGAGAGAGAGAGAGAGAGAUAACUAGGCUAAAAUAGUAUAGGUAGCGUAGAGGCCUAUGUAGUACUAAGUUGUUUUUGAUGAUGAAAAAUUUGAAUUGACAAUCAAUUCUGUUAAAUAUGAUCAACAUUAUUAGAAGUAUGUCAAUUUCAUGAUUUUUGAAUAUUAUUUACCUUUACACCAAAUAGUUUCGGAGUGAACGACUAAAAAUAAAAAUAUUAUAAAAUAUAAUGAUAAAAGAUUUAAAUUUCAUACCAUAGAUACUGAUUUUACCAUCAACAGCAUAAUUUCAGAUAUGUUGGCCUAAAUAGUGAAAAGGAUUUUCUAUCAAAAUUUCACCAAAUUUAAAUUUUUUUAUAUGGUUAGACUUACAAAUACUUCAUUUUCAUUCAAAUUAUCAAUUUUCUGAUUCUUUCGUCACUAGUUGAAUAAUGUUGAAAAACAAUAUGAAAUUGUGUUUCUUACAUUCAAUAACAUAGAUUGUAUUUAACGGAGCUGAUCGUCGAUUCGAAUAUCCUGUUAUCAAAUAUAACAUGAUAGUACGAAGGAUUCUAUGCUACUAAUAGUGGGCCAAAUAGACUCGCUGACUCAGAAUGUAUUAUUGGUGAAAUUAUCAUAUCGUGUUUAAUGGAGUAGAAUGUGUCAUUGGUGAAAUUAUCAUAUCUUA
rnacentral:lncRNA from 1 species